UAUACAUAGAGCUUAUCACUUGGUGCUGUUUUUUUUUUCCCGUUAUUCAUAAGUAUGUCCUUGGAAAAUGGAUGCUCAAGGUUAUGUCUGUCCAGGUGAGUACAUAAAUGCAUCAAGAUGACUGUAGAGCUAUCCACAAAAACAAUCAAUCCAUGGUACAUUUUCCAUACAAACAGGGUACCUGAAUGAUUUGAAUUGAAUCAUCCAUGCAUGGUUCUUGAUUACUUCUUCCUGCCAACUAACAAAUAAACAAACACCUAGUGAUCCACCCACCUCCCUGUAAUCGAUCGACUCAAGAAAUAGCUGGCUUGUGCAGCCAGAUUAAUUUAAUGAUUAACACACUCCCAUUGCGGCCAACGAAUGAUCACAUAGAGGAGGCACACAAUAGACUACUACUGAUUAAUACUACUGAUACUACUUGCUGGUGGUAGGAGAGGCAACAGCCGAAGAGAUUGAGGGAGAGAAGGAAACGGCCAAGGCAAGAAAAUGGAUGGAUCGAUCAUGGAUGCAUGCCUUCUCUCUUCCCUUCUUACAUGUACAGUGGCAAAACUGCCAUGCAAAACGUACGGCGCCGGCCAUGACCGAGCUAGAGCUACGCGCCGUAGAUCGCUGAGACCCUGCGGAGGACGGCGACCUUGAGCUCCAGCACGCAGAUGUACUCUGCGGUACGACGGAGCAGCGCGUCGACAUCGGCGUCGCGGCGGCUGGCGCCGGCCGGCACGAUCUUCUUGAGCUCCCGGAGCCUCCUCAGCACCAUGAGCUGGAAAGGCCUCCUCCUCCUCAACGACACCAUCCCUCCUCUAUACCUCCUGCACCCACUCUUCACCAUGGACGACUUCCUUGUCAUCACUCUCAAUCUCCUCCCCCCACAAGAUGUGUAUAGCUGUGUUGUGUAGCUUAGCCUUAGUUUUGUAGGCUGUGCUGGUGUGUGGUGUGGUGUGGGGGUGUAAUGGGAGAGGAGGGUCGUAUAUAUAGGGCUGGGUUUCACUCCUUGGCCAUGUGGGAGAACUAGGUUCUAAGCUGUAGACUGAGCUGUAAGGAGGGUAUACUUGGAGCCAUCACAGGCCAUGCAUUUCAGUUUCUAGUGUGUG
rnacentral:lncRNA from 1 species